AGGACGAACGCUGGCGGCGUGCUUAACACAUGCAAGUCGAGCGGUAAGGCCCUUUCGGGGGGUACACGAGCGGCGAACGGGUGAGUAACACGUGAGCAUCUGCCCUUCACUUCGGGAUAAGCCUCGGAAACGGGGUCUAAUACCGGAUAUGACCGCGCUACGCAUGUGGUGUGGUGGAAAGUUCUGGCGGUGGAGGAUGAGCUCGCGGCCUAUCAGCUUGUGGUGGGUAAUGGCCUACCAAGGCUUCGACGGGUAGCCGGCCGUGAGAGGGUCGACCGGCCACACGUGGGACUGAGACGACCGGCCCAGACUCCGUACGGGAGGCAGCGAGGUGGGAAUAGUGGAACAAGUGGGACGUAAACGCCUAGAUCC
rnacentral:rRNA from 1 species